UCCUUGUAGCGUCCUCCAUGGUAGAUGUUCUCACCACUCAACAGAGGAGGAUACUGCGGGCUCUGCGGGCACCAGAGUUUAUUUAUGUGUGCUCCGUAUUGGAGGGCUGCGUGUGACCCAGCAGUGACAGGACUGUGGGCUACUGGCUGGAGAGGAGGUGCGCUGCCUGCAUCCUUCUGCCUAGCGGAGCACGAAGGACAGGCUCACAUGCUCAGUGCACGGAAGCCAAAAAGCAUUGCUGGUAUUUUGAAGGACUCUAUCCAACCUAUUAUAUAUGCCGCUCCUACGAGGACUGCUGUGGCUCCAGGUGCUGUGUGCGGGCCCUCUCCAUACAGAGGCUAUGGUACUUCUGGUUCCUCCUGAUGAUGGGCGUGCUCUUCUGCUGCGGAGCCGGCUUCUUCAUCCGGAGGCGCAUGUACCCCCCACCGCUGAUUGAGGAGCCAGCCUUCAAUGUGUCCUACACCAGGCAGCCCCCAAAUCUCGGCCCAGGAGCCCAGCAGCCGGGGCCGCCCUAUUACACUGACCCAGGAGGACCGGGGAUGAACCCUGUCGGCAAUUCCAUGGCAAUGGCUUUCCAGGUCCCACCCAACUCACCCCAGGGGAGUGUGGCCUGCCCACCCCCUCCAGCCUACUGCAACACGCCUCCGCCCCCGUACGAACAGGUAGUGAAGGCCAAGUAGCGGGGCGCCCACGUGCAAGAGGAGAGGCAGGAGAGGGCCUUUCCCUGGCCUUUCUGUCCCCGUCGAUGUUCACUUCCAGGAAUGGUCUCAUGGGCUGCUAAGGGCAGUUCCUCUGAUAUCCUCACGGCAAGCACAGCUCUCUUUCAGGUUUUCCAUGGAGGACAAUAUAUGAACUCACACCGUGUCUCCUCUGUUGCUUCUGUUUCUGACGCAGUCUGUGCUCUCAGGUGGUAGUGUGGUGAUAGUCCAUGAGGGCUGAUGUCCUUAUGAUGGCGUGACCAGAUCUUCAGGAGAGAGACUGAGAGGAAGAAGGCAGUGCUGGAGGUGCAGGUGGCAUGUGGAGGGGCCAGACCAAGCAUCCCAGGCAAGCAUCCUUCUGCCGGGUAUUAAUAGGAAGCCCCACGCCGGGCAGCUCAGCCAACGAAGCAGCAGCCGGCUGAGCUGAACCCAGCAGGUCGUCUGCUCCAGCCUGUCCUCUCGUCAGCCUUCCUCUUCCAGAAGCUGUUGGAGAGACAUUCAGGAAGAGAGCAAGCCCCUUGUCAUGUUUCUGUCUCUGUUCAUAUCCUAAAGAUAGACUUCUCCUGUACCGCCAGGGAAGGGUAGCGCGUGCGGCUCUCACCGCACGAUGGGGCCUAGAAUCAGGCUCGCCUUGGAGGCCUGACAGUGAUCUGACGUCCACUAAGCAAAGUUAUUUAAAUUCAUGGGAAAUCACUUCCUGCCCUAAACGAAGACAUUGCAUUUUGUGAGCUCUUGGUCUGAUUUGAAGAAAGGACUGGUUACCCUUUCUUUCAGUGUGUUUAUGGAAGUGUAUGUAGAGCAUCCUGCCCUUUGAGAUCAGACUGGGUGUGUGUUUUCCAGUCUGAUCUGAUUCCAGUGGACAUCACCGCCUCUCCAGGGCAUUCUCAGGCCCGGGAGUCUCCUUUCCUCAGGCAGCUCCAGUGGUGGGUUCUGAAGGGCGCUUUCAAAGCAGGGGGCACAUCUGGCUGGGAAGUCACUUGGACCCUUCCAGGGAGAGAGACCUGCUGAGGCGUCUCUCUGUGAGGUUGUAUUGGGUCUAAGCGGGUAUGUGCUGGGCUCCAAGGAGGAAGAGCUUGCUGGGAAAAGACAUGACUGCUCUGACCAUGUUGUUAUAAUUAGAAUGAAGAAGAUGUGGUUGGAAAUGCACAUUCCUGGAUAGGAAUCACAGCUCACCCCAGGAUCUCACAGAUAGUCUCCUGAGUAGUUGAUGGCUAGCAGGGAGCUAGCUCUGUUCUGCCGCAUAUAGUGUUGAUGUGUGAACCCUGACCUGUCCUGUGUGCUAAGAGCUAUGCAGCUUAGCCAAGGCGCCUAGAUUACUAGAUGUGCUGUAUCACGGGGAAUGAGGUGGGGGUGCUUAUUUUUUAAUGAACUAAUCAGAGCCUCUUGAGAAAUUGUUACUCAUUGAACUGGAGCAUCAAGACAUCUCACGGAAGUGGAUGCGGAGUGGUUUGGUGUCCGUGCUUUUCACUCUGAGGACAUUGAAUUGGAGAACCUUCUGGGGAAUUUUGUGGGAAACACUUGGGAACAAAACAGACACCCUGGGAAUGCAGUUGCAAGCACAGAUGCUGCCACCAGUGUCUCUGACCACCCUGGUGUGACUGCUGACUGCCAGGGUGGUACCUCCCAUGCUGCAGGCCUGCAUCUAAAUGAGACAACAAAGCACAAUAUUCACUGUUUACAAUCAAGACAACUACGUGGGUCCAAACACUCCUCUUUCUCCAGGUCGUUUGUUUUGCAUUUUUAAUGUUGGUUUCUCCCUUUAUUUUUUGUAAUGAAAAAGCACACUAAGAGCUGCCUCUGGAAUUGGGUACAGCCCAAUAGGCACCCAAAGGUCCGUGACUAAAUUCAUUUAUCUUUUUGAUAGCAAAUGAUGUCAAGAGACAGUGAUGGUUAGGGCUCAACAAUUUUGUAUUCCCAUGUUUGUGUGAGACAGAUUUUGUUUUCCCUUGAACUUGAUUAGAAUUGUGCUACUGUGAACACUGAUCCUGCCUAUGGAAGUCCCACUUCGGUGACAUUUCCUGGCCAUUCUUGUUUCCAUUGUGUAGAUGGUGGGUUGUACCCACCUCCUGGAGUGAGACAGCUCCUGGUGUGUGGAAUUCCUGGAGCGUCCGUGGUUCAGAGUAAACUUGAAGCAGAUCUGUGCAUGCUUUUCCUCUGCGACAAUUGGCUCAUUUCUCUUUUUUGUUCUCUUUUGAUAGGAUACUGUUUCCUAUGUGUGCAAAAUAAAAAUAAAUUUGGGCAUGU